UACGAAGGGGGCUAGCGUUGUUCGGAAUUACUGGGCGUAAAGCGCACGUAGGCGGAUACUUAAGUCAGGGGUGAAAUCCCGGGGCUCAACCCCGGAACUGCCUUUGAUACUGGGUAUCUCGAGUCCGGAAGAGGUGAGUGGAAUUCCGAGUGUAGAGGUGAAAUUCGUAGAUAUUGGGAAGAACACCGGUGGCGAAGGCGGCGACCUGGUCCGAUACUGACGCUGAGGCGCGAAAGCGUGGGGAGCAAACAGG
rnacentral:rRNA from 1 species